rnacentral:rRNA from 1 species
UACAGAGGUCUCAAGCGUUGUUCGGAUUCAUUGGGCGUAAAGGGUGCGUAGGCGGCGCGGUAAGUCGGUGUGAAAUCUCGGAGCUUAACUCCGAAACUGCAUUCGAUACUGCCGUGCUUGAGGACUGGAGAGGAGACUGGAAUUUGACGGUGUAGCGGUGAAAUGCGUAGAUAUCGUAAGGAAGACCAGUGGCGAAGGCGGGUCUCGU